CAGCAGGUCCUGGGCGAGUCGGUACCGGAUGCCGCAGCCCCUGCUGCCCCCGCCAUCCUCAGGCCUGUCCUUGCUGCCGUCUCCGUGCCUCCUUCCCGCACAUCCACUUCCCCGCGGCCCCUCUGCAGGCGGAGGCGGGAAGCAACUCCAGGCUGGGGACGCGGAGAAGGGCGGGGCUGGGACGGAGGGGGGAGGGUCCGCACGCCCGGAGCUUCCAGGGGAGUGGGCUCAUGGGCCCCCAGGCCUGGCGUCCACCUCCGGCGGCCCUGCCCGUCUAAAGCAGCAGAUGGGCACACCCCUCUCCACUCUCACCCCACUUGCUUCUAAAAUGUCUUCAGUCAGCUAGAAAGAGAAAAAUGGCAAAAUUUAACGCCUCUUUCCUUUGUGGUCCAGCUGGAAGGCCGCCUCUGCAGGUUUAUCAGAGACAGAGGUACCCGGCGCACACAGCCCCAGGACCCUCGAUUCCACUGGAGCUCUUUUCCGUUAUGUCAGCGUCCCCAGGAGCCCGGGGAGGCUCUGUCUGCACUUUCCCAGGAGAGGGCAGCAGCGACUGAAGCCUCUGGACCUGAGCCCAGGGAAGCAGCGGUGCCAUCCUUGGAGAUCACCGCUAACCCCAGCGCUUGUGCAACUGUCCGGUUUGGGAUGUCAGUGGGAUUUAACAGAUCUUUGCCUUCAGGGUUCAUCAGGACUCCUGUGAAGAGGAAAUAUGAAUUGGACCUCAAACAUCCCCCAAAGCAGGGACACCUCUCUGCCAGAUUCCUGGGCAAGCUCUCAGCAUCUUCCUUCAAUCCUCCACGCCUGCCUGAGCAUCCCCCAAGGCCAGCCUGGUCCCGGGAAGCCCUUGGACAGUCAACAAAUCUUCCUCCCAGUUUCCUAGAUUCAGGGCUAACGGCAAGAUGCUUGCUCAAUGCAAAAGACAUAAAAUGUUCAGAUUUAUUGCUCUGAGAAUUUUGUCUGUCUCCUGAGUCUGGUUGAUGCUGUUUCCUCCAAGUUUCAGAGCAUUUUGUUUUAAAAAAAGGAUUUCGAUAGCA